rnacentral:rRNA from 1 species
GUAGUCGCGUUAGGUUUGCUGCCUGGGAGGCCUCCAAUUCUCCCAUACUUACCCGAAUUGGCGGGGGAGCACUAGGGCUUGCGUCGGCCUUCCCUUGCGUUCACCCUAAAGGGUUUCCUGUUACACUUCACUGGCCGUCGUUUUACCACUAAUGGGCUGCCGGAAAUACUGCAGAACUAGGGAGUGGGAGAGGUAGACGGUACUCGGGAGGAAGGGGUAAAAUCCUUUGAUCUCUUGAUGACCACCUGUGGCGAAGGCGGUCUACCAGAACACGUUCGACGGUGAGGGAUGAAAGCUGGGGGAGCAAACCGGAUUAGAUACCCGGGUAGUCCCAGCUGUAAACGAUGCAGACUCGGUGAUGCACUGGCUUUUGGCCAGUGCAGUGCCGCAGGGAAGCCGUUAAGUUUGCCGCCUGGGAAGUACGUACGCAAGUAUGAAACUUAAAGGAAUUGGCGGGGGAGCACGAGG